GGGUUGUGAGGUUAAGCGACUAAGCGUACACGGUGGAUGCCCUGGCAGUCAGAGGCGAUGAAGGACGUGCUAAUCUGCGAAAAGCGCCGGCGAGGUGAUAUGAACCCUUGACCCGGCGAUGUCCGAAUGGGGAAACCCAGUGUGAUUCGUCACACUAUCGUUAGCUGAAUACAUAGGCUAACGAGGCGAACCGGGGGAACUGAAACAUCUAAGUACCCCGAGGAAAAGAAAUCAACCGAGAUUCCCCCAGUAGCGGCGAGCGAACGGGGAGCAGCCCGGAGUCUGAAUCAGCUUGUGUGUUAGUGGAAGCGUCUGGAAAGUCGCAGGGUACAGGGUGAUACUCCCGUACACGAAAGCACACAUGCUGUGAACUCGAAGAGUAGGGCGGGACACGUGGUAUCCUGUCUGAAUAUGGGGGGACCAUCCUCCAAGGCUAAAUACUCCUGACUGACCGAUAGUGAACCAGUACCGUGAGGGAAAGGCGAAAAGAACCCCGGCGAGGGGAGUGAAAAAGAACCUGAAACCGUGUACGUACAAGCAGUGGGAGCAUCCUUCGGGGUGUGACUGCGUACCUUUUGUAUAAUGGGUCAGCGACUUAUAUUCUGUAGCAAGGUUAACCGUAUAGGGGAGCCGGAGGGAAACCGAGUCUUAACUGGGCGUUAAGUUGCAGGGUAUAGACCCGAAACCCGGUGAUCUAGCCAUGGGCAGGUUGAAGGUUGGGUAACACUAACUGGAGGACCGAACCGACUAAUGUUGAAAAAUUAGCGGAUGACCUGUGGCUGGGGGUGAAAGGCCAAUCAAACCGGGAGAUAGCUGGUUCUCCCCGAAAGCUAUUUAGGUAGCGCCUCGUGAACUCAUCCUCGGGGGUAGAGCACUGUUUCGGCUAGGGGGCCAUCCCGGCUUACCAACCCGAUGCAAACUGCGAAUACCGAGGAAUGUUAUCACGGGAGACACACGGCGGGUGCUAACGUCCGUCGUGAAGAGGGAAACAACCCAGACCGCCAGCUAAGGUCCCAAAGUCAUGGUUAAGUGGGAAACGAUGUGGGAAGGCACAGACAGCCAGGAUGUUGGCUUAGAAGCAGCCAUCAUUUAAAGAAAGCGUAAUAGCUCACUGGUCGAGUCGGCCUGCGCGGAAGAUGUAACGGGGCUAAACCAUGCACCGAAGCUGCGGCAGCGACACUAUGUGUUGUUGGGUAGGGGAGCGUUCUGUAAGCCUGCGAAGGUGUGCUGUGAGGCAUGCUGGAGGUAUCAGAAGUGCGAAUGCUGACAUAAGUAACGAUAAAGCGGGUGAAAAGCCCGCUCGCCGGAAGACCAAGGGUUCCUGUCCAACGUUAAUCGGGGCAGGGUGAGUCGACCCCUAAGGCGAGGCCGAAAGGCGUAGUCGAUGGGAAACAGGUUAAUAUUCCUGUACUCGGUGUUACUGCGAAGGGGGGACGGAGAAGGCUAUGUUGGCCGGGCGACGGUUGUCCCGGUUUAAGCAUGUAGGCGGAGGUUCCAGGUAAAUCCGGUACCUUAUUAACGCUGAGGUGUGAUGACGAGGCACUACGGUGCUGAAGCAACAAAUGCCCUGCUUCCAGGAAAAGCCUCUAAGCAUCAGGUAACACCAAAUCGUACCCCAAACCGACACAGGUGGUCAGGUAGAGAAUACCAAGGCGCUUGAGAGAACUCGGGUGAAGGAACUAGGCAAAAUGGUGCCGUAACUUCGGGAGAAGGCACGCUGAUAUGUAGGUGAAGCCCCUGCGGGUGGAGCUGAAAUCAGUCGAAGAUACCAGCUGGCUGCAACUGUUUAUUAAAAACACAGCACUGUGCAAACACGAAAGUGGACGUAUACGGUGUGACGCCUGCCCGGUGCCGGAAGGUUAAUUGAUGGGGUUAGCGGCAACGCGAAGCUCUUGAUCGAAGCCCCGGUAAACGGCGGCCGUAACUAUAACGGUCCUAAGGUAGCGAAAUUCCUUGUCGGGUAAGUUCCGACCUGCACGAAUGGCGUAAUGAUGGCCAGGCUGUCUCCACCCGAGACUCAGUGAAAUUGAAAUCGCUGUGAAGAUGCAGUGUACCCGCGGCAAGACGGAAAGACCCCGUGAACCUUUACUAUAGCUUGACACUGAACACUGGUCCUUGAUGUGUAGGAUAGGUGGGAGGCUUUGAAGUGUGGACGCCAGUCUGCAUGGAGCCGUCCUUGAAAUACCACCCUUUAAUGGCUGGUGUUCUAACGUGGACCCGUUACCCGGGUUGCGGACAGUGUCUGGUGGGUAGUUUGACUGGGGCGGUCUCCUCCUAAAGAGUAACGGAGGAGCACGAAGGUCAGCUAAUCCUGGUCGGACAUCAGGAGGUUAGUGCAAUGGCAUAAGCUGGCUUGACUGCGAGAGUGACGGCUCGAGCAGGUGCGAAAGCAGGUCAUAGUGAUCCGGUGGUUCUGAAUGGAAGGGCCAUCGCUCAACGGAUAAAAGGUACUCCGGGGAUAACAGGCUGAUACCGCCCAAGAGUUCAUAUCGACGGCGGUGUUUGGCACCUCGAUGUCGGCUCAUCACAUCCUGGGGCUGAAGUAGGUCCCAAGGGUAUGGCUGUUCGCCAUUUAAAGUGGUACGCGAGCUGGGUUUAGAACGUCGUGAGACAGUUCGGUCCCUAUCUGCCGUGGGCGCUGGAGAAUUGAGGGGGGCUGCUCCUAGUACGAGAGGACCGGAGUGGACGCAUCACUGGUGUUCGGGUUGUCAUGCCAAUGGCACUGCCCGGUAGCUAAAUGCGGAAGAGAUAAGUGCUGAAAGCAUCUAAGCACGAAACUUGCCCCGAGAUGAGUUCUCCCUGACCCUUUAAGGGUCCUGAAGGAACGUUGAAGACGACGACGUUGAUAGGCCGGGUGUGUAAGCGCAGCGAUGCGUUGAGCUAACCGGUACUAAUGAACCGUGAGGCUUAACCUUACAACGCCGAAGCUGUU
rnacentral:rRNA from 1 species